ACGAACGCUGGCGGCGUGCCUAAACACAUGCAAGUCGAACGGAGAUGUUUUGAAAGCUUGCUGAUAAGCAUCUUAGUGGCGCACGGGUGAGUAACACGUGGGCAACCUGCCCGGAAGUCUGGGAUAACAGUGCGAAGGUACUGCUAAUACCGGAUACCUUCACGAAGCUGCCUAGCUUUGUGAAGAAAGAUUAAUUGCUUCCGGAUGGGCCCGCGUCCCAUUAGCUAGUUGGUGAGGUAACGGCUCACCAAGGCGACGAUGGGUAGCUG
rnacentral:rRNA from 1 species